UACGGAGGGGGCUAGCGUUGUUCGGAAUUACUGGGCGUAAAGCGCACGUAGGCGGCUUUGUAAGUUAGAGGUGAAAGCCCAGGGCUUAACCCUGGAAUUGCCUUUAAGACUGCAUCGCUAGAAUCGUGGAGAGGUGAGUGGAAUUCCGAGUGUAGAGGUGAAAUUCGAAGAUAUUCGGAAGAACACCAGUGGCGAAGGCGACUCACUGGACACGUAUUGACGCUGAGGUGCGAAAGCGUGGGGAGCGAACAGG
rnacentral:rRNA from 1 species